CACAGUCACAGAGCUCUCAUUAAAGGCUGCAAAGCUGAACUCCAACUCUAAUCACUAAGGCAGAAUAUAUUAAAUUUACCCUCAUGUCCCAUUCAGCCUUCACAGCAGGUUAGCUGAAAACUGUAACCGUUUUCGCUAGCAGUGCUGGAUGCUAGUUAUUAGUAAUUAAAUCACCAGAAAUCUUCUUAUAGAGAAAUUCUUUUCAUCUUGCGUACCCCAGAAACUGUUUUUACUGACUCGGCACAGCUCUUCUCCCAGCAAGCGAGCCUGUUUCAAACAGACUGCAUGAUUUCCCAGGUUUGGGUCGUAUUCUACUUGGUUGCCUCCCAGCUUCCCCCAGCAACAACACCCGGCAAGUGAGAAAAAGCCCAAGGUGGAGUAAGAAACAUGGUGAAACUAGAUUAGGCUGGUCAGGCAAGACAGCGAGCGACAUCCUGAAAACUACAAAAUGCCCUGCAAUUAUCACAGGCUUCUCCCACACCACGGUCAGCUGUGGUCAUUAGAUACUAGUUAGAAGGAAGUGAAAAACAGACUUGUUCCAGAGGGAGAAGCAAGAGGAAGAGGAAUGGUCAGCUGGCCAAAUAAUUGUCAAGGCUGUUUCAAAUCCCGCAGAGGAGGUUGGGGAGCCUGGAGUGAUGUGCACUUGUCACGACUCACCCAGCAACAAAGAGUUCCCAAGCACUGGACUCUGAGCCAGCCAGCAGGACACUUUAUGACUUGACUAACAAAACCAAUAAUUAGGCUUACAGAGAAUGACAGCUAUGAAAAAUAAACAGCAACAAAGAUUAAAGACUCCAAAGCUGCCCAACCAAUGGGAGCCAAAGUUUAUGUACUCAGACCUCUUAGAGCUCCCCUGUGGUCUUUUGGCAAUUUGAUUUAAUUCAGUCUGUACUU